AGGCCUUUCCUCUCAGCAUCCAGGCCAUCUGAGAGGAAAGGGUCACCGGGUUCUGAGAACCAAACAGAAGUCCCUUUAAAAGUGUUGUGCGCGGGCCAAGAAGCUGGGAGGGGAGUGACGCUGAGCCCAGUUACUUCAGGGCGCGGGGCACCACAGGGCAGAAAUCACCUCAGGACCACGGGCUUUGGACAGUUGAGUUCCUCCCCGUUUUCCCAGAGAUUCAGGAAUCCAGGCACUUCUUUUGGAAAAGUCACUUUCUUUAUGCGAUUUUUAUUGCUGGCCCAAGCAAAACUGGGUUCCAUUAGCAAGCCAACCAGCAGUGUCUGCCAUAGAUGGGCCACCGUCUGCUCCUUCCAUUGCCCUUGUCUGAUUUCUUUUCACCAGAAUUACCCUGUUGCAUCUGACCCAUGGGCAUUUAGCCCUGUAUCCUGUUUUGUCCAGAAGCUCCGAAAGAUGGUUUCUCAGAAUGAUGGAGAAGGAAGAGACUUGGCCAUCAUCCAGUCUAACUCCUGAUUUUCAGAUUUCUGCUCUUAAAAUAGGAUCUCAUCACACCACUUCUCUUGCGAAAACCUGCACUGGUUCACCACUGUCCACAAGGUAAUUUUGAGCUCCUUAGCUUGGCAUUCAAGACCCCACUCCAGCUUACAUUCCUCUCCACAUCCGUCCAUGCCAUCCACACUAAGACACCCUGAACUACUCGCCUCCAGCAGCUAGCAUUGACUGAACACUUACGUGGACCAAGUACUGUGCAAAGCACUUUGGGUGCAUUAGUCCUUUAAUCUUCACAAGGACUCUAUGAGAUAGGCACUAUGAUUAUCCCCACUUUUAUGGAAGAGGCAAUGAGGCGUAAAUAACUCACCUGAGAUCAUGCAGCUCUUGAAUGGCACAUUCAAGACAUGACCCCCAUCGAUCUGCCACCCAGGUCUAUACCCCCCACACUCAACUGGACUGAACUUGUGCUUUUUUUAUCUCUACUGGGGCCUUUGCUCAGACUCCUCUCUGAGCCUAGAACAUCCCUUCCUCUUUUCGUGUGCCUUCCAUCCUUGCAGUCUCAGCUCCAGGGGCCCUUCCUCUGUGAAUCUACCCAUCCCAUCCACUCUGAGGAGUCACUUUUUCCUCUGUGACUUCAAAUGUAUUCUGAUUUAAAGCAGCAUUAGCUGGGCAGGUGACUGUCCCCCACUCAGGACUGUGAGCUCUUUCUAGGCAAGGACCAUGGUCUACUCAUUUCUAAAAUCAGGAUCCAAGUCCCAACUCACCAUUGGUAUUCAGUGAAUCUUUCUUGAACACCUAGGGAUGAAAUCUAGUGAUUAAAUUGUCAUUAUUAAGGAAGUAACCACAAGGGGGCAGUACCAAAGGGUCUGAUAAAGAUCGCCCUGGGAGACUGUUCUGUGUAAGAGACCCUGCGGGCAGAGGAACCAAGGUACGAAGUAGCUGAAAUGUGCUUAGCCAAAAAAGUAAACAGCAAUGUGAAGUAUGGGAGGAAAAUUGGAAGAAAGUUAGAAAAAGAACAACUUUUUGGAAGUUUUUAAAAACUUUUGGAGUUUUACAAAUAGUUGGGAAACCGAGGGAAAUAGCUUUUUCUGCAAUUUUUUUCUUCUUUAUAUAAUAUUUACAUCUUUAGUUUCCUGAAAAUAAUUUUAUUAGCAAGCCAAGAAACACUUAAUACAUUCUCUCAAGGAAAAUAUGCAUUUAGAUCUGUAAAGAGCAUUAAAAAUAUAAUUAACGUUAUUUUCUAUUAGUCCCCUUCGUAUUUUGCUACCUCUCUCUCUCCACCCUCCUAACUGUUGUCUAUGGAUUUAGAAUGUUUUUAAUCAAGAAUUAUAGGUUAUUUAUUUUUCAUUUAUUUGUUAUUGUCGUUUUGCUGGGUUUUUCAAUUAAAAAUGAAUAGAAGACCAUAAAAAUUUUGAGAUAUGUUAUUUUCCUAGCACUGUUGGAGAUCAGAGGGAAGCCACAGCACCCUGGAGAAGGAUGGGGCAGGGUUAGAUGGAGGAGAAUGGCCAAAGAAUAUUGGUGGACCACAGACUCAAGAAUUCAUGGGAUUCAUCCAUAUUGAGGGUUGGAAAAUAAAAGGAUUUUGAGAAGUGUUUUCUUAGGGGGG
rnacentral:lncRNA from 1 species